rnacentral:rRNA from 1 species
GAUGAACGCUGGCGGCGUGCCUAAUACAUGCAAGUCGAGCGAACAGACGAGGAGCUUGCUCCUCUGACGUUAGCGGCGGACGGGUGAGUAACACGUGGAUAACCUACCUAUAAGACUGGGAUAACUUCGGGAAACCGGAGCUAAUACCGGAUAAUAUAUUGAACCGCAUGGUUCAAUAGUGAAAGACGGUUUUGCUGUCACUUAUAGAUGGAUCCGCGCCGCAUUAGCUAGUUGGUAAGGUAACGGCUUACCAAGGCAACGAUGCGUAGCCGACCUGAGAGGGGGAUCGGCCACCCUGGAACUGAGACACGGUCCAGACUCCUACGGGAGGCAGCAGUAGGGAAUCUGCCGCAAUGGGCGAAAGCCUGACGGAGCAACGCCGCGUGAGUGAUGAAGGUCUUCGGAUCGUAAAACUCUGUUAUUAGGGAAGAACAAAUGUGUAAGUAACUAUGCACGUCUUGACGGUACCUAAUCAGAAAGCCACGGCUAACUACGUG